rnacentral:rRNA from 1 species
UUCCUUGUCGGGUAAGUUCCGACCUGCACGAAUGGUGUAACCAUGGCCACGCUGUCUCCACCCGAGACUCAGUGAAAUUGAAAUCGCAGUGAAGAUGCUGUGUACCCGCGGCUAGACGGAAAGACCCCGUGAACCUUUACUACAGCUUGGCACUGAACAUUGAACCUACAUGUGUAGGAUAGGUGGGAGACUUUGAAGCAGCGACGCUAGUU